rnacentral:SRP_RNA from 1 species
GAUCUGUUAUGGAUAGUCUAGUGGAAGGGCGACUAUGAAGCUGGUAACCCUGCUUAGGUAAUCACCAGCGGGCAAGGUGCCUGGUUCGAAUCCUGGAGUCGCUGUUGUACUCGUGCGAGUAAUCCACGAUCGCUACGACGCGUUAAGCAAUGAAGAUGACCCUUGAGGGAAGCAAUUCUGCAGAGACAUCUUCACUCUGGGAUGGCGGCACCAGAUUACACCUGCCCGUUACAGGGAAGCUGGCUGUUAGGUCGUACAACCACUUUU